AACUUCAGGAGGCAACCGUGGAAGAAGGAGGGAGAAGGGGGCACGGGCUUGUUCACAGCUGCCCAAGGACUUGAAGACCUGAGAGGGCCGGUGGCCUGCAGGCAGGGCCACGGGGGCGACACGGCCCGAAGCGCGGGUGAUAUUUGUGGAAAACCAGCCAGAGCAGAAUCUCUCGGGUGGGUUCUUUACUGCAGCACAAGACAAAAAAGCCCCACAGAAAGAGGGAAUCUGGAAGAUAUUUUAAGCUAAUGUGCACCAUGAGUUAGCCUGUCUGUGUGUCAGCACUUUAUGUCAGGUAGCUAAAAAUUCUUGGGUGCCAUACAAGAUUUACCAUAUUACUGAACCAAUGCCUCUUUCUCUCAGGAACACUGCAUUCAUAUGCAAAACCAAUUCACUUACAGACACAUUUAGCAGCAUCCUAGUCUCCCAGAUGUUUUCAGAACACUACAGAGAUUAUCCCUGCUGGUCCGUGUCACAAGCUUCCAGGAGUUAAGCAGGACAAAAGAUGCACACUGUAAUUUAAAGAUUUCUGCACUUGAUAGUUUUUCAGUGUACAAACUUAUACUCCCCUGUAUAUAUUUGUAUGUGUGUGUGUUUGUAUGUAGUAUUUACCCAUUUAUCUAAGCUACUGCUAACUUUAAAUACUACUUUAUAUCUUACUUUUUUUUUUUCCAGGACCACUGUAUGCAUUCCUUCUUCCUUUCCCUCCCUUUAUGCCAAGCUCUUCUGUGGGACCUAUUUUACAGCACCGAAAGACUGCUGUAGAAAAUUGCCAAUGUCUUAUAGCACAGUUACUGCUUUCUUACAGUCAUUACAGUCACUUUCUUACAGAAAGGAGUCAUCAUUUAACAGUUGUCAGCAGUUGUUCUCUUGCAGCAGCAAGUAGCUGAGCCUGUAAAUCUAGAAUGAGAAGGGAAAGUUGGAGAAGUUCUGCCUCAACUUUUAACCCCACCUCCAGGUUGGAAAGGGUUUAAGUCACUAUGUGUAAAACCCUAAAGCAAUAAUAACAGAAUUCAAUUACCACUAGCACAUAGGUAAUUUCUUUACAUAUGCAACCAUAUCUAGAAAUAAUAUAUAUGUGUGUGUGAAUAUUAAAGUUGACAGCUCACGGCUAUUAGCUAAUGGUACUAAUACUGUAAUUCUUUGGAAGAUAUUCCACCCUGCAUGGAAAAUACUUCCAUUUUUACAAUAUUUUUAAUUACUAAGGAAAUCUUAUACUUUUUCACAGAAUAUUAAUCUUGGUCAUUUGUUCUAAUCUGCAAAGCUUAUUGAAAACAGCUGAAGAUAACAAUUGCUCCAUGUGGGCUAAGAGCCAAGAAGCCUCAAUUGUUUCAUAUAACUGACAGGCAAAUUUUCUGUGUCAUUCUUGCUUGGCACCAGGAAUUUUCACAACACUGAGGCAGAAGGUAAGAGGGUGCCUGCACGAGGCGUGAGUCCGCAGAUGUACGUGCAAUCACAGAUACCCACAGUAAGCAAUAGGAGCAGUCAUUCCCUGAUUUGUGCAAGGUAUUUCAGCUCCUUUGGCCCUGUUCACUCACCACAAGAAGGACUAACAGUCUCCAUUACACCUCAGGAUGCCAAGCCCUGUAGAGGGUAACAUUUAAGAGACAACAGUCGCUGCCAUGGCUGCAAACUUUGUUUUCUCACUGCUGAUCUCGGGUAUCUGAGGCCCAAUCAUCCUCUCCUUAGCAAAUGCUAUCUGAUCAUGUGUCUGACAGCGUUCCAUGGGCAGUUCCAAUUCUUUCCAGAUCAGAGUUCUAGCUUUUCAUGGCAUAAAGCAAUCUGAUACUCUGGCCUAGCUCCAGCUUACACAAGCCAAGGGGAAGACCUCAGCAAUGGGACAUUUUUUGUCAGCACCUGUCUCCAAGUGCUCUGUUACAGAAGUGGAAAAAGUCUACAGUCACUUCACUCAAACCAGUUUCUUAAUCACAUCUCCUCUGUAGCACCUGCUUUAUCAUGCACAGCAUCUUAAAUUGUGGCUUAUUAUUUUCCACAGCAUUCAGCUAACCCAGUCUGGGGGCCAGAGGUGACACCGCUUGAAAUUCCGAGACUGAGACAGAGGAUGGAAACAGAGGCAUUUUCUGAGGCGAUCUGUGUACAGCACCAGUGAUUAAACUGCUGGAUGAGAACUCGGCUUCAUACAGUUUCCAUUCAGUUUUCUAGCAUCGGGCCGGAGCUUUGCCUCUCUGCUGUUUCAGCAUUUGUCCUGAGGAGGACAAACGCUGUGCAAGGAGGAAGCUGGAGCAGUGCACCUAUGCAUGCAUGUCCCUCGCUGCCCUAAGAUACGUCCCUUAGCAAAAAAAUAUUUAAGACUUCCUCGAUGGAAUUAAAGUAAUACAACUUUGUCAUCCUUCACCCUAAAAUAAGAGAAAAUACAGGGACCUUUCGUAUGCUUCUGGUUUUCAACUUUCCCAUGAACAUCAACAUCAAAUCUUUCCAGAGUCACCCUACCACCAUCCCUUAUGAUGCAUUUAGAAAGGUGGUGUUUUCUUCCAUACUUUGCACAACUGUGGAACUGGCAGUUCCUUUACCUGUAUCCUGUACUGCUUGGUACAGCUUGGAAGCUUUGCUUAAAAUUAGCUUUGCAGGUAAUACCCAGAAGAGUUGAGAUGCCGAGCAGAAUAGCAGGCAUUUGACAACUGUUAUCCUGAAAUCAGUGGAGUAUAUGAUGCCGUGUUUCCAACCCUGCUACUGUACUCCAAAUGAGCUUCUUAGAGCAUAGACCAGCACUGGGCUGCCCACACCAAGAGUGGGCAGUCUGUGUGGUGGGCAGCAGUACAUGCCUCCUCCUACACGGGAGUUUGCUCUCCUGUUACAAGCAAACCACAAGCUAUGUGAAUGUGAUUAAGCAGUAGCACUUGGUACCAGUAGUCAGGGCCUGAAGCUUACCUUUCCUUAGAGUAUAUGCAGAGUAAACUAGGCUCCCCUUUGAAAUAACUGAGGCUGUCUUCACAGAUUCCUUCACUAAGAUUCAGAAAGCUCUCAGGCAGUUAAAGAGUCUGGCUCGCACAACUAAGAAACACGCAACUUUGCUCUGAAGGUUUUUAGCAGUCAACAGAAAUAGCACUUGGUAAAGGUCAGCAACUCAUCUUUCUAGACCUAAUAACAAUAACAGGGCCAGCAAGGUUGUUCUGUGACGAUGCCCACAGUGAUUUAUGACCUACAGGGGCUGUGUUACAGCAGGAGCAAAAAAAAUCCGCAAUAUUAGUUGCAGCUUGGAGGAGUUAAUAAAACGUGCAGCUGAGGGUAGGGAAGGCUACUCUGCCCUUGUUAGCUAAUCUUUCUGUGUGGCUUUUAGCAGGUUACUUCUCCCAUAGAGAAUUGAGAUCCAGGGAAGCCAGAGAGUUUGGCAAGAAAGCUGUGAAAAGACCAGGAAGCUCAGCUCCGCUUUCAAUCAGUACUUGCAGUUACACUUUUAUAGCCUGCAGCUAGUUUCUUUUCACAUGUAUUUUGUUGGUUGGGAAGAAGAGAAGAUGACAAAAUUAACAAUCUGUGGACUGAAUAACUUGGCUGGGGGAAAGGCAGGGCAGAGUUGCACGCUGGAAGGACUGCUUUCUAAUUUUGUGCCACAGAUGGACAGAUGGGAAACUACUCCUGAGAGCUGAAUCCAAUGUAGAGUUGUUAACUUGCAUCUUUCCCUAGUAAACAUGACACUGUAGCAUCAGGAGUGAAAACUGAGCUGAAGAAUUACCUCUUAUCAAUCAAAUGACAAAAGUGUGAAGGGAAAAGAUAACAGCCCCCCCAACAAACCCUCCUCUUGCCAGCUAGACCAUUAAUGGGACUAGGAUCUCUAAGAGGCUGAAAUAACAAUUCAUCCUCUGCACUUAAUCAGCACGGCUGCAGAACUGAUGUGCAUAGAAAUGGAACUAAAGGAAGAACAGCAGCAUUGACGGCCACGACAAUAAAAGGAUAAACUUGCCAGCUGUCACCAGCUGUCUUCCUAUAACCCAAGUAACUGCCAUUGAAUCCUCUCUGGAAAUGGGACAUGCUCCACAGAUAGCCUUGUCAGUCAUGGUGUGUUUCUAAGGGUAAGCUCAGCCUCUGACUAUGUCAUAAUUCUCUUAAGAAAGACAAUAACUGGCUCCAAAUGAAGGCUAUAAACAGUCAAGAACCCCUGACUUCUCUUCAGAGUGGAGACUGGCUAAGUAAAUGUGCAACGCAGAAAAGCCUGUGUGGGAAGGAUCCUUUGGCUGCGUAGCAACGUUACACGGGCAUAUUUUGUGGCAGGAAUCUGGCACCCAAGACAGCGAAAGCUACACUGAAACAACUCUUGGAAAAGCUGGGUUAACAGCCCCAUCAUGACUGCCAAAUACCAAGAAAGGCCACUGACAGCUAAAGGGACAGCAAGCGUCAGUCUGCAAAACCCUUCCAGUGUCCAAGAGACAGUACAAGCUAAAUACUACUGAACCUAGAUUCCAUGGACUAUGUCUUAAGACACAGCACAGAGGCAAGUCAAGCAGGCUGCAAGGAUCAGAACAAGCAGUACUUCCUUCAGCAGUGGCUCCUAAAGCCGCUUCCACACUGGCACCACCUACUUUUGCUCACAGCAAAGGUUGCCAUAGUCACAGCAGCUGUGUGGGGCUACCAGUUACUUGGUUUUAAAAGAAAGUUCUUCUUGAGUGUUUUGUUUUACGUUUUUCUUCUCCUGUAGCGUAAGUGUUACUGGUAAAUAGUAGAAAAUCAAAGACCUGAUCUGGGCUACAAGCGUUUUGUAGAUGAACUCACUAGUAGAAAUACAUCAUCAUCUAUCAUCUGCACUAGUCAUAGUUCCUUAGCUAUACCGAUUCUCUCCCCUCCUUCAAAUAGAAUUAAACGUUUGUUGUUCAAAACCUCUUUAACCGUUUGAGUGUCCUUCUUAUUUGGUUUGAUCCCCCCUCGAGUCUCCAAGAAACCUCGUGAGAGGAAAGGCAAAAGCAGUAAAAAGAGAAAUGGCUGAUGCUACCUGACGGUGAAGUCGAAACACUGCGCGUGUUUAACGACUCGUCGGGGACAUCUCCUGACCGACCGCGGCACUGCAAAUAAAAACUGCGCAUCGCCGAAACCCACGCACUUGAUCGCGCGGGAAGUUUUGGCAACAUGCACGGAACUCGCGCCUGCGCAAAACGAAAAGCGCUUCGAUCACGUGGUAUGCCCAGGGUACAUGGCGACGAACUCGCGCAUGCGCGAUGAUGUACUGAUUCUACCGAGUUCUGCUUUUCUGGGAUCGGUUUGGGAAAAUCACACGAAAUUCUAAAAAGCUUCUCUCCGUGUUUUCUAGUUGCUUUUUCAGCCUUGGUCUAAGUUUCAUGUAGAAAAGGGCAUAGAAUUAGAACAGGUAAACUAGAUAGAUGGAUAUCUUGGGAUAGAUGGAAGAAAAGUCAGCUGAUUCCAGUUCUGCUUUUCUUGUCUUCCCUUUGACUGUCAUUUUCUCUCACCUACUGUUCAAAUAGCCAGCAAUUAAUUCCUCUUCUGAAAAGGUUGCUGUACUAAGUGUCUGUCAAAUUGAUGCCUUCAACUCAAGAUAGCACAUAUUUCUUAGUUAUAAAUUUCUCACAGGAAAUUUUCAGGCGUGCCCAUAAAUCUCAUCACUGUUUGGGAGAAGAUUUUCUCGUCUGUAAGAGAAUAGUCAUGGCAUUUGCUAUUGAAUGCUGGUGGCAAUCUAGUCAGAAGAGGACCCCGUGCUUCACUAAUUUUCCCUUUUUGCUGUUGGGGGUGACUUCUUCCCAGGGAUGUUCUUCUUGACCCCCCGGGGCAAAGGGAGGCGUCAGCGUCAGGAGCCAUCCUAACUGAGGCCCCGGCUCCCUCUUUUCCUUCGGUGGCCGUGGGUGUGCCGGACGCCUCUCUGGCAGGACUAACCCUGUGGCUUUUAUGUCCAACGUGCUGUGUGUGCCUGCAGGUAAGAAAAGCUGGGAGUGCAGUCCCUCUGCUUUGAUUGCUGUGUCUCUUGGGUAGUGAUUUUGGAGGGGAAUCCCAGAGCGAUUUGGUUUGAAGGGGACCUUCAGAGGCCAUCCUGCCUUCCGUGGGCAGGGACACCUUCCCCUCUCAUCCCCGACUGGAUGCUCCCAGUCCCAUCCAGCCUGGCCUGGAACACUUGCAGGGAUCCAGGGGCAGCCUCAGGUUCCCUGUGCAGUGUGCUCUAAUAUCUCUCCACUGGCAUCCUGAAAAAUGUCGUCAGCGUGUUUUGUUGGACGACGCUAGGCAGGACCUGGGUGAAAAGGACAUUCUCUGAGGUGCUGGGAG